UGGGGAAUUUUGGACAAUGGGCGAAAGCCUGAUCCAGCAAUGCCGCGUGUGUGAAGAAGGCCUUCAGGUUGUAAAGCACUUUUGUCCGGAAAGAAAUCCUUGGCUCUAAUACAGUCGGGGGAUGACGGUACCGGAAGAAUAAGCACCGGCUAACUACGUGCCAGCAGCCGCGGUAAUACGUAGGGUGCAAGCGUUAAUCGGAAUUACUGGGCGUAAAGCGUGCGCAGGCGGUUUGCUAAGACCGAUGUGAAAUCCCCGGGCUCAACCUGGGAACUGCAUUGGUGACUGGCAGGCUAGAGUAUGGCAGAGGGGGGUAGAAUUCCACGUGUAGCAGUGAAAUGCGUAGAGAUGUGGAGGAAUACCGAUGGCGAAGGCAGCCCCCUGGGCCAAUACUGACGCUCAUGCACGAAAGCGUGGGGGAGCAAAACAGGAUUAGAUACCCUGGUAGUCCACGCCCUAAACGAUGUCAACUAGUUGUUGGGGAUUCAUUUCCUUAGUAACGUAGCUAACGCGUGAAGUUGACCGCCUGGGGAGUACGGUCGCAAGAUUAAAACUCAAAGGAAUUGACGGGGUCAUAGCUGUUUCCU
rnacentral:rRNA from 1 species